GACGAACCGUACGAACGUUAUUCGGAUUUACUGGGCUUAAAGGGCGCGUAGGCGGCCCGCUAAGUCGAACGUGAAAUCCCCAGGCUCAACCUGGGAACUGCGUCCGAUACUGGCAGGCUUUGAGUGUGGCAGAGGGAGGUAGAAUUCCACGUGUAGCAGUGAAAUGCGUAGAGAUGUGGAGGAAUACCGAUGGCGAAGGCAGCCUCCUGGGCCAACACUGACGCUCAUGCACGAAAGCGUGGGGAGCAAACAGG
rnacentral:rRNA from 1 species